rnacentral:rRNA from 1 species
AGCGAACGCUGGCGGCAGGCCUAACACAUGCAAGUCGAACGAAGUCUUCGGACUUAGUGGCGGACGGGUGAGUAACACGUGGGAACGUGCCUUUAGGUUCGGAAUAACUCAGGGAAACUUGUGCUAAUACCGAAUGUGCCCUUCGGGGGAAAGAUUUAUCGCCUUUAGAGCGGCCCGGAUCUGAUUAGCUAGUUGGUGAGGUAAAGGCUCACUAAGGCUACGAUCAGUAGCUGGUCUGAGAGGAUGACCAGCCACAUUGGGACUGAGACACGGCCCAAACUCCUACGGGAGGCAGCAGUGGGGAAUCUUGCGAAAUGGGCGAAAGCCUGACGCAGCCAUGCCGCGUGGAUGAUGAAGGUCUUAGGAUUGUAAAAUCCUUUCACCGGUGAAGAUAAUGACUGUAGCCGGAGAAGAAGCCCCGGCUAACUUCGUGCCAGCAGCCGCCGUAACAC